UUGACAGCCCUGGAAAUUAAACUUCUUUAUUUAUUGACAGCCUACAUACAGCAUAGACACUGCAAGUUUCUUUCACUGCUGAGCCAACAUACUUUUUCCCUGGCCAGAAGGAACUACCUCUUCUGAAGGAAAUGCAAUUUAUUCAUUAUGUCCAGUUGUUCUCUGCAUUAU
rnacentral:sRNA from 1 species